CCGGAUGCAUCCGGCUUACUUCAUAGCUCUCUUCAGUACCUGCUGACUACUGACCGUUCAGUUUUCUGACUUCUUUCUUUACUAAAACAGGACCAUAGGGGAAAUUCCUUCCAGGCAGCCGAGGAAGCUGGCAAAGAUUUAUUUCAAGUUAAUUAAGAAAGCUGUGCUAAGCACCAAGGGAGUCUGUUUAGUUGGGCUGUGGGACGUGACCACCGCAUCAAGGCUGAGCUGGACCUUUUUGCUCCCUUUACCACAGACCUUCUGUAUUUUACCAUUACCACUAGGAGGUGGGGAAGAUGAGGGGAAACUGAGCUCAGAAAGACUGACUCCUUAGGAUGAGCCACUGGUAAACCAAAGUCUCAGAAUUUGAACUUGGCUUUAGUCUGAAGAAUAUGUCCUCUGCUUGUCUGCCCUAUGCUAUAAGAUGGCCAUAAGCAACGAAAGCCUCCAGUUAGAGCCCAAGGAGAGAGCUCGGGGUGAGAACUCCAAGCUGAGUAAAGGUGAGGAAACAGGCUAGCUGCUGGUAGAAUGCUUGCCCAGGCUGCGUGAGGCGAUAUAAACUGUGUAUGUUUGUGAUCCUCCUACAAGGAGGCAAGGGCACCAGAAGUUUAAGAGGGCCCUUGGCUACACAGUGAGUAAGUUCCAGGUAGCCUGGACUACAUGAGACUGUCUCUGAAAAGACAAGUGGGAGAGCGGGGAGCUAGGCAGACAGGAUAUGUGGAAAUGUGUGGAAACGCAGCAGAAGCUGGGUUUGUGUUGAUCCUGGGCCCAACUUCUGAAGAUCUUAGGAAUCCCGGAGCCCAGUGGGAGAUAGUUGGACAGAUUUUCUGGAACCUAGAGCAAUUUUUUUUUUCCUAAGGCAAACAUUCAAUAUGAAUAAACUCAAGUGCUUUUCCCCUAAGGCACACAUUCAAUAUGAAUAAACUCAAGUGCUCCAGGGGUCUCAGGAUCCUAGAUAUACCCCAGGACACUGAGAUCUGUGGCGUAAAGACUUUAAAAUGGGUUUCUUGUGAAGGAUGGGGGACUCAUUGUCCCCACCUCUUGAUGGGCCGACAAGAAGGUACAGAAGGUAUGCUCUCAGGGUAGAAAGGAUUUCCAACCCAGAGUGGUAAAUGGCUUCUGACUAGAAUUACCCCCAGGAACCCGACAGGCCUGGAAGAUCAAGGACAACCUGGCUGACAAUGUCUUCCAUUUUUGCCUGUGGUGUUUUAGACUCUUCUGCUGACCCUGAAGCAGCUCCACAGGCCUGGAUGUUCCUGAAGUCACUUCCUGAGGCACGGAGGCGAUGCUUGUGGCAAAGGUGUGAUUCGAGAUGCUCAAAGUAGUCAUAUGGUAGGAUCCGGGAAAUGACUCAUCGGAGAUCCCGACAUGAGGAAAAUUCAUUCCCAAAACCACCAAGGGAGAACCAGGGGGAUGGCUCACUUGGUUAAAGUGCUUGUCAGACAAGUAUGGGACCUGGAUACCCCAGGACCGUGUGGAAACAAAAUCAGGUAUGGUGGCACACGCCCAUAAUCUCAGGGCUAAUGUGACACAGAUGGGAGCUGGCCAGCCAACCUGGCAUAAUGGGUGAGCUUCAGGACAACAAGGGCCUCUGUCUCAAAAAUAAAGUAGACCACACCUAAAGAAUGGCAUGGAGGGUUGAUUUCUGGCCUCCACAGGCACAUGCAUGUGCAUGUACACAUGGGUGUACACACAUGUGCAAAUACAUGAAUUCAAGAGAGAGGAAUGGUCCCACCCCUUUUCUUGAUUGGGAAUAAAGGUCUAAAAAGGAGACCAGAGACAUAUUCAUCCUUGAAUUAUUUGUAGGGAAUUAACCAUGAAGCCAAGGGCCCGUAGAAGAUGAGCCAUUCACCAGCUCUGUGUCUCUUGGUAGGGGAAGGGCAGUCUCCACUGGAUGAAAUGAAACAGACAAAGAAAUGGGCAAAAACUAUUUAUGGAUAAUAACUUCUGAGACCUAUAUACCCAUGUAUUGGCUUCACAAUGAGUCUUUUAUUGUAAUGUGGAACAUUUGGUGACUCAAGAGACACAGAGCAUGUGACUCACGCAAAGGUGGUGGGCUCCAAACAGAGAGACCUAAUAGUUUGUUCUUGGCUGGACACUAAGAAGUUGUGGGCAAAUUACCCCUCCCUGAGACUCCCUUUUCUGUCUGCUAAGCAGAAAAAUGAUCCUGAAUCUUGACAGAGCUGCAUACAUUUUGAAAGUGCAAAAUACAUUAUGUGUGCUGAGUAAAUGAGAGAGAAUAAGAAGAGAAAUAUAGAAUUAAAUAGAUAAUACAAAAUAGUAAUACCCAGAGUUGGCAAGAUAGCUCAGCAGAUAAGGCUGACACCUGCUGCAGGCAGGCAGCUUGCCACCAGGGCUGACAACUUGAGUUCAGUUCCCAGAACCCAUAAGGGGAAAGGAAAGAACUCAUUUCAAGAACUUGUCCUCUGACUAUCUCAUAAGCACCAUGGUAUGUGUGUACUCAUUAAUAGACAAGUAGAUGUAAAUUAAUAAAAUACUAACUAGGGCUGGAGAGAUGGCUCAGAGGUUGUGAACACGUGUCCUUGCAGAGGACCCAGGUUCCACUCUCCACAUCUACCUCAAAGCUCACAACCUUCUGUCACUUCAGCGCCAGGGGAUCUAAUGCCUACUUUUGACCUUGAAGAGCAUCAGGCACAUGUGUGCUGUGUACAUAUACCUGAGCAAAACAUUUAUGUACCUAACAUAGAAUAAAUAAAUCUAGGGAUGGGCAUGUUGGCACAUGCCUUUAAUAAUUCCAGCAUUUGGGAGGCAUAGGCUGGGAGAUCUCUGUGAGUUCGAGGCCAGCCUAGUCUACAAAGCAAGUCUAGGACAGUCAGGACUUUGUUACAUAGAGAAACCCUGUCUGGAAACAAAAAAACAAACAAACAAACAAAGUCUUAAAAAAUAGUAGCAACCAGAGAUGGUAAGUACAAGAUGGGCAGAUACAUUCUUUUGCAAUUAAGUCUCAUUAUAUAAUCCAAAUUGCCCUCGCACUCUAUUCUCUUGCCUCAGCAUCUGAACAGCUGGAAUAACAGGUGCACACCACAUACCCCAUGUAAGCUCAAGAUAUGAACAGUAUCUUGCUCGUCUUUGUACUCUAAUGUGUUAUACUAUAUAAAUAUUAAUCAUUAUAUGUUAUCAUACACACAUAUGUAGAUAUAUGCAUAUACAUAUAUAGUAUAUAAUAGCACAUAGUAGCAACCCCUAAACAUGCGAGCCUGGCUGGCUGGUGUAGCACCAUGUCUGGGCAUGACUGUUUUCUAUAUUUUGGCAGCUAUAGAAGUAAAUGAGAGUCUGCUUAGAGAAGCAUUUCAAAAUCCUAUGAAACUAAACAAGGAAUAGAGAAGGGGACAUACAAUGUCAGGACAUUUUUGAAAUGUCAUUUGAGGAGAGCAGUGGCCUUCUUUCGGAGUGAGCUCAUGCCCACUCUCUGGUCGGUUCUGCUAAGUAGCACAACUCUUUUCUGCGUGGCUCUGCAAGGCAGUGUAUCAGAGGGCAAGGCUACAGAGUCCCUUGGACAGUGACCUAUUGACAUCAGCUAUUAAUAGCCAUUAAGUCCUUGGAUGGAGCCCAAGCUCCUCUCACCCUAGAGAUAGCCUUGCAUUCAGAAUAUGCCUGAAAGAGCUGCAGAACCCUGUGAUCUCUUGGAGUUUCCCAGUUAAGCAUGUGUUUUUUCCUUCCUCUCCUCUCCUCUCCUCUCCUCUCCUCUCCUCUCCUCUCCUCUCCUCUCCUCUCCUCUCCUCUCCUCUCCUCUCCUCUCCCCUCCCCUCCCCUCCCCUCCCCUCCCCUCCCCUCCCCUCCCCUCCCCUUUCUCUUUCCCCUUUCCCUUUCCUUCCCUUUCCUUUCCUUCUAUUUUUUGCUUUCCUUUCCCUUUUCUCUUUCUUUUCCCCUUUCCCCUCCUCCUCUUCCUCUUUCUCUUUUUCCUCCUCCCCCUUUCCCCCUUCAAAGUUACACAAAGGACGUUUGGCCUGCAGACUCCAUCUGCCUGUGUAGUGUGCUAACAUUUGUUUUCCACUUAGAAGUCUAAGAGGCUCCUGUGCUUUCAACAAGUCCACCAAGUUUCUCAGUCAUGCUGGAGAGAAACGAGCACUGUAAGGGGAAGCAAGCCACCUAGCUAGCCAUGUCACACACUUGCCUGGGGCUCAGGAGGAGCUGAUGUCCCAGUCAGCACAGGCCCACUGGUAAAGUAUUGCUGUCCUUGGACAGUGAAUUACUUUUAGUGUCUCCAUGCUUCAAAACCUGACAAGAAGCAACUUAACAGAGGAGGGGUUUGUUUGGAUCUCGGCUUGAGGGGCUAUAGUCCAUCAUGGCAGAAGGCACGGUGGCAGGAGGGUGAGGUAGGCACCACACUGCAUGCACAGUCAGGGGGCAGAGGUGACUGGACGCUGGUGUUUGCAAUCCUUUCUGUGUUUCCCACUUUUACCUUGAUUUCCCAUCCACAGGAUGAUGCCGUUCACAUUAAGGGUGCGUCUUCCCUUCUGAGUGAAAUGUCUAAGGAAACAGCCUGACUCUCACUGACGUGUCUCUUAGGUGAUUCUAAAUCUAGUCAGACUGACAAAGAAGACUCCUCAUCCUCUGCGGCCUGGAUGCUGGGAGCAGGCAAGGCCUCCUUUUCCCUCCUGCAUGGUCACACUUGAUAUCAUCACUCCUAAGACUGGAGGAGAAUCUUUGAUAAUAGCGAUUCCUAAAUACAGGACAAAGACAGGUCCUGUAGCUUAAUGUCAACUUAACUUUUGUCUUUCAAAACUUAACUCAUGCCGGGCAGUGGAGGCACAUGCCUUUAAUCCCAGCACUUGGGACGCAGAGGCAGGCAGAUUUCUGAGUUCAAGGCCAGCCUGGUUUACAGAGUGAGUUCCAGGACAGUCAGGGUUAUACAGAGAAACCCUGCCUUGAGAAACAAAACAAAACAAAACAAAACAAAACAAAACAAAACAAAACUUACCUCAUACAGUAUGUUACCACAUAGAUCCCUCUCUGAGAGGUGGGAUGGUGUUCUCCUACUUAGCUUCGGUUGUCAAAUUGACCCAGCCCAGAGUUGUCUGAAGGAAUCUCACUUCAGAAACUACCUUAAUUAGAGUGGCCUGAAGGUAUGACUCUGGGGUAUUUUCUUGAUUGCUGGUUGAUAUAGGAGGGUCUAACCCACAGUAUCAUUAUCAUGUAAGGGUCCUGACUAUAUAAGCCAUCCAGUUAGUGUAGAGGUGAGAAAGCAAGCCAGUAGCAGCAUUUUUUCUGUGGUUUCUGCUUCAGGGUUCUGGUAUGACUUUCUUCAGCGAUGGGUUGUGAGCUGGUAGUGUAAGCCAACUUGACCUUCUCCCCCUGAGCUGCUUUUGGUGUUUAUCACAGCGCUUGAGAACUAAGAUAAUAUGUGUGUAUUAGUUACUUUCCUGUUGUAAAUAAACAUCAUGACCACGGCAACUUAUUGAAGAGUUUACUUGAGCUGGUUCCAGAGGGACAUCCUGACAAGGAAACAGAAAUGGCAGCCAGAGAAGGAAGUGAGAUCCUCAACCACGGACAGGUAGCAGAGAGAGUAAAUUAUGUAUCAAAAGAUGGCCUAGUCGCCCACCACUGGAAAGAGAGGCCCAUUGGACAGGCAAACUUUAUAUGUC
rnacentral:lncRNA from 1 species